rnacentral:tRNA from 1 species
GGUACUGAAAUUUAAGCGAAUGCUUGUUCACUCGUAAUGAAGUGGUUGCGAGUUCGAUUCUCGCCAGCAGCUCCA